UGGCUUAAAAAGAAGUUUGAGUGCAAAUCAAACGGUGGGUCUGAGAUGGUCCUUAAGCCU
rnacentral:tRNA from 1 species